rnacentral:rRNA from 1 species
GAUGAACGCUGGCGGCGUGCUUAAUACAUGCAAGUCGAGCGAACAGACGAGGAGCUUGCUCCUCUGACGUUAGCGGCGGACGGGUGAGUAACACGUGGAUAACCUACCUAUAAGACUGGGAUAACUUCGGGAAACCGGAGCUAAUACCGGAUAAUAUAUUGAACCGCAUGGUUCAAUAGUGAAAGACGGUUUUGCUGUCACUUAUAGAUGGAUCCGCGCCGCAUUAGCUAGUUGGUAAGGUAACGGCUUACCAAGGCAACGAUGCGUAGCCGACCUGUGAGGGUGAUCGGCCACACUGGAGCGUGGACACGGUCCAGACUCCUACGGGAGGCAGCAGUAGGGAAUCUUCCGCAGUGGGCGAAAGCCUGGCAGAACAACGCCGCGUGAGUGAUAAAGGUCUUCGGAUCGUAAAACUCUGUUAUUAGGGAAGAACAAAUGUGUAAGUAACUAUGCACGUCUUGACGGUACCUAAUCAGAAAGCCACGGCUAACUACGUG